CGUCUAUAUACGUAUAGCAUAUCAAUAAGCGGAGGAAAAGAAACUAACUAGGAUUCCCUCAGUAACGGCGAGUGAAGCGGGAAGAGCUCAAAUUUGAAAUCUUCAAGGUUUUACCUUGACGAAUUGUAGUUUAAAGAAGUGUUUUCUGUUGGAGUUUUGGUAAAAGUUCUUUGGAAUAGGACAUCAUAGAGGGUGAGAAUCCCGUAUUUGACCAUUAUUUCCAACUUUGUGAUACACUUUCAAAGAGUCGGAUUGUUCGGGAAUGCAGUCCAAAAUGGGUGGUAAAUUUCAUCUAAAGCUAAAUACUGGCGAGAGACCGAUAGCGAACAAGUACCGUGAGGGAAAGAUGAAAAGAACUUUGAAAAGAGAGUUAAACAGUACGUGAAAUUGUCAAAAGGGAAGCGUUUGACACCAGUGUUGUUUUCUCGAAAAUCAAUUAAAAAUGGUGGGAUUUUGUGUUGUAUUGACUUUAUCAGCUUUCUGCACUUUUUUCCUAUCUUUUUUAAUGCACUUUUCGUUUAACAAGUCAACAUCAAUUUCUUUUGUUGUAAAAGGAGUCAUUGGAAGGUGGCUUUCUUUUCGGAGAAAGUGUUUAUAGCCUUUGACUUCUGCAAUCGGAGAGAUUGAGGUCUGCAGCGUAGAUCCUUCGGGGUUAGAUGCAUUUGUGCUAAGCUAUAGCCUUUCAUAGACAACUUGUUGACUAUGAUCAGUCAUGUAGCUUACUCGCUUAUGUCAUUUUACCUACGCUUAGGAUGUUGACGAUCAGCUGAGCGCG
rnacentral:rRNA from 1 species